AGGUGGAGUCUGGUUCUACAGCAAUACGAGUUUACCAUACAGCACAAGAAGGGAAGUACACAUGGCAAUGCUGAUGGUUUGUCCCGCCAGGGGGAAGACUCCACCUAAUACGCAAGGUAGAGGCAUGUGAGCCUUCUCCCAUUGCGUCUCUUAUUUGGGUGAGGUGUCACGGCAAGGGUGUAUAAUUUAUUAUUACACUAUGGAAUAUCAUCCUUUAAUGUACAAAUUACAGAGAUGCUAUUGCUGAGGUCAACAGGGGUUAUAUCUUUUGAAGCUGGGACCCCCACAGAGGUCAGAUGACAAAAGGGGUAGUGUGAAUGGCAUAGCAAUGUGAAAAGGAUUUUACUAUAUGGAUGUGAAGUAAUCAAGGAUCUGCAAGGUGUGAGGUUCUACACUUGGAAAAGUCUGAAUGUCUCUUCAUCCAUUUGGCAUGUACCUUGUAAAGGAUAGUUCAAUCAUUUCAAAGGUAAUGGGAUUCGUUUCAUGAAGAUCCUUGUGUUCCAGUAUCUUAUCCAAGUGAAACAUUCAUACUUACCCACAGGUUAAUAAUUAAGCCUCAUUUUUAUUAUAUUUGGAAUGGGACAAGCCCAAUAUUUUAAUUAAG